GACGAGGGAUCCUAGCGUUGUUCGGAAUCAUUGGGCGUAAAGCGGGUGCAGGUGGCUUUGUAAGUCAGGUGUGAAAGCCCAGGGCUCAACCCUGGAAGUGCACUUGAUACUGCGAAGCUUGAGUGUAGGAGAGGUUACUAGAAUUCUUGGUGUAGUGGUGAAAUACGUAGAUAUCAAGAGGAAUACCGGUGGCGAAGGCGGGUAACUGGCCUAACACUGACACUCAGACCCGAAAGCGUGGGGAUCAAACAGG
rnacentral:rRNA from 1 species